rnacentral:rRNA from 1 species
AGGAAAGAAAUCAAGAGCGAACGGAGGAUGCCUAGGCUAUCCGGAGGCGAAGAAGGACGUGGUAAGCUGCGAAAAGUCGCGGGGAUCUGCAAACAGGAAUUGAUCCGCGAAUGUCCGAAUGGGGCAACCCACAUGGUUGAAGACCAUGUACCA